UGCACUAACCCUUCAUAGUGUCUGAGCCCCUUGGGAUGUGUGGGGCUUCUCCUGGGACCAGGACAUCUGCCACAGGUCACAGGACAUCCUGUCCAUGCCCUGCUGCUGCACAAAACCUCGUCUGAGAAGAUACAAAUGUUCCUCCUCCGAUUCCCAGAAUCCUGUGUUCAGGUGGAAGGUGUGAUGGCCCUGGUUAUCUCAGAUGUGUAUCCCCAUGGGCCAUCAUCACUGGGCAUCCUCGGAUAGAUGCCACCAUGAACGACCAUCUCCUGUGCAGCUCCUGUAUCCUUCCAACAUCACCACAUUCUCCUCAUAAUCAGGCUGGGUAAUGUGUCCCAAAGCACCACUAAAACAGUGCACAGCAAAGCCCUCAUUUCCACAGCUCCUCCAACCAAAUUACAGUGGGGCAACUCUGGUGAAACUUCUGUUGCUGCUACUUC